AAGGACGAAGAAGAAGGUGUAAGCAGCUCGUAAAUGUGAAAAGUUGAUGUUUUCACCACCCAGUGUCUUUAAGACUGUGAUAAAUGCAAUGACCAACGACCAAGGAUUAAUGUACGUAUAUUUUUGUUAACUUUUUACGGCAAAUAAUUGUAAUAUUUGGCAACAACAAAUCUUCACUAUCGGAGGCAACUUUUGUUCUGACGCCAUUUUAAAAAGUUGGAUAUCUAAGUUUUAAAUUGUUAAGUGCAUAUAUUGCAAGAGAGAGAGAGAGAGAGAGAGAGAGAUUUGAGACAGUGAUACAACAUAACUUAAAUAGAUUAUAGAGGUCCCAAGGCACCGUAUGUUGUAAAAUGGCAACGUUUCGCCUUUCACCAUGUUUAUUAAAAUGUAUGCUCAAUAUGUAUGUUCUCUCUCUAAAUAUAAAUGAAUACUUUUCGGAUUUAAACAAAAAUAUAUUUUUAACCCCGCUCAAAUUAUCCGGAUGAUAAUAGUUAUACCGAGCAUGGUUUCGUAGUUAAAUUCAGACUGUAGUACAUCCGGUUUGAAUACAUACAUGUGUUUUCUUCUGACUUUCCGUUUUCGGAUAGCCAACUCUUUUGAUUUUUGGAACUUAUGACUUAUGGCAAGAGAGAAGAAAACUGCAUGACUUUAAAAGAAAACCAGUGAGAUAAAAUCAUAUAAAAUGUAUGAUGAUUCAGGAUGUGGUCAUUUGAGACCUGUUCUGUGGAUGCCC